UCGUGGGACCCAUUGCCAUGGGCGCCGAGUAUGCUUGAUUGCCAUGUCGGAGGCAAAGGUCCUAGAGCUUGGUGUGUGACAAGUCGUGUGAGAUGAAGGUGGUGAACCGUCUCAAUGUGAAGCCAAGUAUGUGAAGGAUAUGCCAUGGAUGAUGUGGACAGAGAUAAUGCAAAAAUUGCUUGCCGAUAGGCAGCUGGGCGCAUGCAUAAUUGUCGAGGAGGCCGAAGCCAGCGCUAUUCUGGUUUGACUGAAUAACGUAUUCUGAGGCUCCCUUGUGGUGGAGAUCAACUAUGCAGUGGGGAAAGGAGCUAGGGGCUGAUUCGUAAGCAGAACAUUGUCCUACCCAAUUAUUGUUGAUAUUAAAUCUGCGUUGAGUAAAUAUCACAUCAGGGCUGUCGGAAGGACAAACAAUGGGCUGGAUCAUGAACUAGCCAACGUUUCCAAAGCUCAUGGAGACUUUGUGGUUGCG